CGUGGCCUCCCGGAACACCACCACAUCCUAUGAUGCACCUUCCAAAAUCCCCUCGGUGGUGGGGGAGGGGCUCCCCAUCCACUGUCUGCUGCAGCUUUGCAAAGGGGGAGUUACAGCCCAGAACUGCACACUCUGUCCCCUCAGGAAACCCACCCGCCCUCUCUGAGCCUCAGUUGAUAGAGACCCAUCCUGAUUUCAGAUGGGAAGAAGGGUGUGGACACAAUCAAGAAGCCAGUUGUUGGUCUAGUGCAGGGAAGGAGGAGCACAUUGUGCAGUGGGUUACAGAAAGGAGGGGUGUGGUGUUGCUCCCGGAGCUGGUGAAGUCCGGCACAGCGAGCGAAGAGAAAUAGAGAAGGAUCCUCGUAAAGUACAACAAAAGGAGGGAAGUGGAGGGAAGAAGGAAGAAGAAAGACAAGGGAAGGCCAGGGAGGUAGACGUGGGGGCGGGGGGGUCGGGACUGUCAGGGAGCCUCUGCCAGGGUUAGCCAUGCAGAACAAGCGACCUUCCUCCCGGGUCUCAGCUCCUUCACCUGUGGAAAAGGCAACAUGAGAAGAAUGGUACCUCUGGCCCCGGGGGGUCAGUAAGAUGCCUGGAGACCAUGCCUGGGGAAAUGCUGCGUAUACACGGAAACUCGAACAAGCAUCGGGAACAGUUAUUUUGGGGAAAAACUUCAACGUGUGUGUUUUCCAAGUCUCAGUGGCUUAUCCAAGAAAUGCAGGGAAUGCCACCUUCCACCUACCCUCACUGGAAGGAAUGAAUGAGAAGGUGCUCCUGGGACUGUCUGGCUCUGUGCACAAGAGCUCAAAGGUUCCUGGGUCAGAAGCAUCCCUGGUAUUUCAAGAGGCAGAGGGCAACCGUAGAUGGAUAAGGAGGAGACCAGUCUCGGGGGAGAAAUACCGAGAGAAGGCCCGGGAAACACGAAUCCAGAACUGGAAGGAGACAGGCAGAGGAAGGGUCUCUUGGGGGCCUCCUCACAGCAGCAGGUGUGACGUGUACUCCAAACAUGUGGAUUCCAUGUGCCACGUAACACGUGGUGCUGAGCAGUGGUCAACAGGGAAUUUGUCACAAGAGCAGCACUUGACAAUCACAAACUCAUGCACGCCUGCACGUUUCCAACAGGAUGGUGAGUGUAAGCCAGAAGAACAUUUCCUUGGAACUGAGGGAUUCCAGGCCCCUGCCCCACAGCUGUUAGGGACUUUGUGGCAGGUGGGCCCCCAAUGUCCCUCAUGCCAGCUGCCUUUCCUGAGAGGCUGGAUGCUUCAGGGUCCACGGCGAUGUGGAGGAGCCUGCUUUGUCCUUGAGGGUAUGUGUGCAGAACCUGCUGCUCUUCUCAGACCUGGGGACUAGGCUGCCUCUGCUAACCAUUGGGAACCUGGCUUCCCAACAGCUGAUGGUCUUGGACUCUCCCCUCAGCUUUCCACGUGGCAUCUUCAAUUUUGUGAUGACCCACCCCAUGAAAACUCUCCUACAAGAGGACUUGAGGACACUCCGGCUUGCUGCUCAAGGCUCUGGUACCCUCUUCAGGGCAUUCAGCUGAAGUUUCUAGAAGGCAGCAUCUGGACUACUUGUUGGACUCAGAUUCCUCCUUUGCCACUUUGGUUCUGUCAGGUUUAUGAUCCAGGCAGGGAUUGAAGAAAGCCUUAAAAGACAAGGAACUGAUGCUGUGUGGAACUAAAGCUCUGUCUGCUACCACGCCAGCCAGCCCAAUAAAAUUCAGCUCAGUUCCUGACACUCACUUGCG
rnacentral:lncRNA from 1 species